rnacentral:rRNA from 1 species
UGCCAGCAGCCGCGGUAAUACGAAGGGGGCUAGCGUUGUUCGGAUUCACUGGGUAUAAAGGGCGCGUAGGCGGCGCGGUACGGUUCGGGUGAAAUCCCUCGGCUCAACCGAGGAACUGCCCGGGCUACGGCCGCGCUUGACAGCAUCAGGGGAAGGUGGAACUCCAGGUGGAGCGGUGAAAUGUGUAGAUAUCUGGAGGAACGCCGGUGGCGAAAGCGACCUUCUGGGGUGCUUGUGACGCUGAGGCGCGAAAGCUAGGGGAGCGAACAGGAUUAGAUA